GGGAUGGAAAAGAAGGGAGGGGCAGAGUUGAGGAGGGCUCUGGGCGGGCUCUGCGGCUCUGACUGUGGGGGAGACAGAUUCCCUGGCCAGGCUGAGAGUCCAAGCUGCAGAGUCACCAGAGGUUAGAAUCUCUGGGGGUAAAAUUCUGAGGAUGAGCGUGGAGGUGGAGGCAGGAGGUUUGGGGACUCCAGGCUCUGCCCUUAGCCCUCAGCCUUGAGCAGUUCACACACACUAAUAGUGUCUUCUUUCCCUAAUCAUAGGGGAUGAAGCAAGCAUUCUUUUUUUUCUUUUUUUUUUUUUGCGGUACGCGGGCCUCUCACUGUUGUGGCCUCUCCCGUUGCGGAGCACAGGCUCCGGACGCGCAGGCUCAGCGGCCAUGGCUCACGGGCCCAGCCGCUCCGCGGCAUGUGGGAUCUUCCCGGACCGGGGCACAAACCCGUGUCUCCUGCAUCGGCAGGCGGACUCUCAACCACUGCGCCACCAGGGAAGCCCGAAGCAAGCAUUCUUGAUUUUUAAAAAGCUUCUAUGGUGGGUGAGAACACCCCUUGGGAGGGGGAUAUUUGGGCCCCAAUGUAAUAGACUUCAGCAGUGUCAGCCCCUCCUGGUGUGUGAGAAGGCAAGUUCUGAGGGGCUAGGACAGCUCUGCCACAGGCCAGUCCCUUAAACAGCCUGAGUUUCCCUAAACCGAGGGGAGCUGCACUGGCUGAUCACUCGGGCCCCUUCCUCCGUCUGGAGUUGCACUGGCUGAUCACUCGGGCCCCUUCCUCCGUCUGAUAUUUGUUUAAUAAUUUUCAAGUCCUUUACGAGAAUCAAAUGAGAUCACGCAUGCUGAGAAGCUUUGACAAAAUAUAAAGCAUGCUGUCAUUGUGAGGGGUUCAGGGGCUGCCUGGGGCCGGGGGAAAGGCGCUUAGAGGCGGGCCAUGGGCUGGGACCCCUGGAAGGGAAAGGCAGGCCCCUGCUGGGUUUAUGCCUCUGCCUUGCCACUGCCUUGCCCCUUCCCAGCCCAGCCCCAGGCUCUGGGGACUGAGCCCGGCUCAGGAUGGGGGUGGGGCUCCCAGGGGCAGGGGCAGAGGGGUGGGAGCCUCCCCUUUGAGUGGCUCCGAGCUGGAGCACAGCAAUUACGCAGGAGGAUUUAUGUCCUUUUGCCUUUAAUCGGAAACUCCGUGUCAAGAAGAAAAAUCUGCACUGUCCUCCGGCCCGGCUUCCUGCUUUAUCAUUAUUAUUGGAGGAAGGUUGAUCUGGAAACUUAAGGAAAAGUGGGGUUGGGGGUGGGAGCCACCAGGGAAAGGGAGGUGUGGGGCGGAGGGUGGCCUUCCUACUGUUUGUCCUGCUUCAUCACAAGAAGGGGACAAAGGGCAGCCCGGGGGUUGAGGGUCCUGGAGGGCAGGUGAGAAGACACAAGAGGCUCACUAGGGGAAGUGUAGGGGCUGGGGAUCAUGGGAGGAAGGGGCAUCUGGGGAGCAAGGGAGACACCAGGAGGGAGGGAAAGGAUGGGUGACCACAGGGAGACACCAGGAAUUAAAGGGACUUGGGAAAGAGGACGAAGAGAACUAGGGCUCAUGGUGGAGGGAAGGGGCGGCUGGGUGCUGGAGGGACACUGGGGUGGGGGGUGCAGGGGGUGGAAUAACCGGAAGGGGGAGCAGUGGCUCUAAGGGGGAUGCUGUGGGAGAGGGAGAGUGUAGGGUAACCAGAGGGGACACAGGGUGGAAGGCAGAGGAGGGCUGGGAGUCACGGAGAAAAGAGGCAUCUAGGGCCUGGGAUGUGCAGGGGCUGGGGCUGAUGGGGGGGCUGGGCUAGGGACUCCGGGUCUGUGGCCAUCUCCGUCUGUACCUGCUGACCUGCCCCCAAGAAGGCUGUUCCUCCCCUGGCCCACCCAGGACCCGUGUCUCCUGGUCUCCUGGGUGGAGGGCGCUGGCCUCCCACAAAGCCCCUGGUUUCCCCUUCCACUUUGGGAGCAGUUUCUCCAGGAGAUGGGGUAUAGUGCUUGGGAAUACUCAGCAGGAAUCCUUGGGCCCUGGGGAGACUGGACUAGAAGUGUUAGAAGGCGAAAGGCCUGCACCCUGGGGAAGGGGAGGGACCCAGGAGAAAAGGCCUCCUAACACCCCCAACGUCCUUGUUUGGAAGUCCCCCUAGUGUCUUAGCUGUUAUCCCUCCUGUUGCCGGGAUUUCAUUCUCAUGUGUGGAAAGGGCACCAGCCCUGGGAUCGGUUCCUGGGAACUGACUCCCUGUGUGCACUUCUGUGAAUCUCAGGGUUCGCACCCACAGCGUGCAAUAUCUACGCGGCAGGCCGUGGUCAGGCUUAGAGAUGGUUAGGUGAAGGAUCCAGCAUGUAGUAGCCACCUGGGGGGCAAUGCCCAAUAUAUGCAACCUCCUUCCUUUACAAAGGACAGAUUAAUUCUCUGUGAGUUUCCUCAACGAGCCUGGGUGGGUAUCGUUAUCCUCCUAGAGAUGGGAACCGUGGCACAGAGCCGCUGAGUGACGUGCCCAAGGCCACACAGCACAUCACUGGAGCAGCCAGGUGAGACGGCCCCAUAAUACCUCCUGAGGGCCUUGAAGAUCUUCCUCUGGGUCUCCUCCCUCCCUCCUUCCCCUGAGGGCCUCACACUUGGCCCCUCGGCCCUGGGAUCUGGGGUCGUUUGGGAUGCUCAGUGGAGUGUCUUGGCUUCCAAUCCUCCUGCAGUCUGGGCCGUGCCCACCCUCGCUCGCCUCCACCCUGGCUCAACUGAGAGGUUUUAUAGCCGUUUACGAGCAAUUUCUGUCCAUAUAUCACUGGAGAUAUAUAGCCGGGCAAAUAUUAGGGACCCAAGCAGAGGUUUUAAGAGGUGAGUUUUACUGCCGCUGAAAGAAGGCGUGAUAGGCAGCCUGUGGAGACCCACCUCCCUCUCGCUCACUUGGCGGCGGCUGGGCGGUGGCAGCAUGGACUGGGGUUCGGCCAGGAAAACUGUCUGUGAGCACGCGGGGGUGCCAGCCUGAGGGGAGUGAUCAAAGAGUGGGGCUCUGAUCCUCAGAGAGCUGUGUGAGUGGGAGGAGGUGGGGUCACAAAGCAGGCCAGAGGUCACGGGCUGGCUUGGACAGAACACCCUCUCCAAACCCGAGCGAGAAGCCACUGAGCUCCUGCGGAUUCGCUCCACAGAAACACAGACCGAAGUGAGACACCAGGGAAGCACUGCCCCGCACGGGCCACUGGAAGAGGCUGCCGUGUUGCCUUUUGCGGGAAGUCCUUAAAAUCUGGAUCUGAACGAGGAAACCGCUGGCCAGAGGCAGAGGGCUGGACACGUGGCCUCUUACCCUCUCGGACCCUGCGCAGGUGAUGCUGGAGGAAGGCCUGCAGGAGGCCGGCCUUGACCUCCUCUGCUCUGGGCCCGGGCCUAUGUGGGCCGCUGGGUUUGGGUGAGCGCAGAAGGGUGAGGAGAGCCUUCUUGGCUUGUGGCAUAUGGUGAGAAGAUGUCCCCGGGAAUCCUCGCUGCUGAUUUAAGCAGCUCCGACAGCUUUAUGGCGCCUCCUCGAGUGAGCCCCCAACGCUGGCCGUUUAACUUUUUAGCGUUGUUUAACGCUUAGGCUCCGGCGGACAGGCAGGCCCCUCGGCCCCAGAGGCAGCAGUACUAAAUCAGGACACUCAUAGGCCCCGAUAAAUAAUUUUUACAGGGCACGCAGCCCAUAGAUCACCAGUGGGGGUGGGGGGAGAGCGGCUGUGAUAUUUCAAGCAAUUGUCACAUAUGACUACCCUGUGCUCUGAUCCAGGUCAUGCACAUGGCAGCCAGCUUCAUAACCAAAGUCAGCUCCAGGGCCCCCCAGCCGGGGCAUGGGCGGGGCUGCGGGAGCUGAUGGCUCCGAUUACCCUACAGCCAGCGGAUGACCCGCGGACUCAUCGUCUGCUCAACCUGCCCUAGUGUGCCGAGCGUGGGCCCCCAUCCGAGCUGCCUCUGGCACUGGGAGAAGGAAGGGCUGAGGGCCGGGUGGGAAUGACUCUUUCCCAAAAAGUCAUUUUUCAGACCACCUUCCUGGUUCCCCCAUCUGACUCCAAACCUGAGGGUCCCAGGAGAGAGCAGGCAGCAAUGCCUGCAGCAGAGGGAGGGUAGAGCUAAGCAGAGCUAAGGGCUGGAGGGAACAGGAACUGUGUGUCAGCUGCACGCCAUUCACACCUCUAGUGAAAGAGGCGGGUGGGGAGUAGAAGGAGAGGCACGAGCAGUGCGAGGAAGAAGGCCAGGGAAGGAUAGGGACAGAAAAAUGAAGACGGAAAGACACGUGAAGACUCAGAGAGAAAGUGAGAGAGACAGAGGCAAGGGGAGACAGACAGAAACUCACCCAGAGAGGAUGCUGCAACGGGCAGGGACUUUUCCUAAAGCUGGGUACAAAGCCAGAGAGACCUGGGGAGGACGGCGUCGGUGCCAGGUGGGCCCGCCCGUGCCCUGGGAGGGCACCUCCAGCUGGCUCCGGGCCUGUUUCCCAGCGCCAGCUCCACGCUGCUCCCUCCUCCCCCUCCCCCCAGUGCCCUUGCCCUGUCCCCUCAUCUGUAAGAUCCUGGGAUAUGCAGGGACACUUAAUCCAUAUGGAGCUGAUUCAUUCCCAUCUAAAUCAUCUCCACGAGCUUCCCUAAGAGCCCUCUGAUGUGCCAGCCGCCGUCCCUCUCCCCCGGCGAUGGCGGGCUGGGGGCUGCCAGUAAACAAAACUCAGCAGCCAUCCAUCCUGGCGUCGUCCGCCCGUCCAGCCAAGACCAUCCAUCUCUCCAGCCCUGCUCCCCACGCCCGCUUCACUCCUCCUGUCUGUCUGUCCCUCUGUGUGUCCCCUCCUCCUCAUGCCCCUCAACUGGAACCUCCACCUCUCUGCCUCGUCCUGGGUAGGCUCUUGAGGGGUCAUGUCGGCCACGCCCCUGCCUGCAGACAGGAUACCUCACCCCUGGCGCAGCAAGGCAGAGGCUCUCCUGGUUCACCGCCUUCCAAGAGGAAAGGUCUUCUGAUGAUCUUACUGUGCAACGUUGACAACCCAUGCUCAAGGAAGUUCUUUCUUCUGUCUAGCUCGCAUGUCUGAGGUCCACAUAGGAUCACAUGUCUGAGCGGGGGUGAAGGUAAGAUUAUGGGGUUCUGUACAAACGUGAGGGUCUCCAGGAUUUGUAAUACGUACUUCCCUGGGUCUCUAGCAGCAAGAGUCAGGCCCGUGCCGAGCAUAUAGUGGAUGCUCCGUGUCAGUUGCUUACUGGCCAUGAUCUUCCCUGUCAGCUCCAGUGAGUCCAGAGGCCUCACAUAUACCCCAGGGAGGUUUUCAGUGAACUGAUCCAGUGGGUUUCAUACAGGGCCCAGAUCGUGGCACUCUAGCCUGGCAGGGUUGGCAGGAGACACGAAGGAAGUGUCUCUCACUUCUGCCUUCCCACCCAGACUCCUCAGCCCUGUCCUGGGGGUGGCGCUUGCCCAGACAGCUCUGUCUUGGCAGUGAUGGGCUGAAGAGGAGGAGAGUAAGCAAGCAGGUGCUGCGUAUCUUCUAUGGCACCAAAGCAGAACCCUCACAUUUGGGGAAAGCCCUUAGGUCUACACGGACUAAUAAGGAGAGAGCGGGGGGAAUUGCUGCCCCUGGCCCCAGUCUCAGGCAUGGUGGCCCUUCCCCCAUCAGGUUCUUCAUGUCAGCCUGGGAAGGGUAAUUCUGGGAACGGGCUGGGGCUCUGCUAGCCUCUCAUGAGAGGAGACGGGAGCAUUUCUUCUGGUCCCAUCUCAGUUUCUCCGUCCACAGCAGCAGUGGGAGUGGGGGAACAGGGCUGUCUCUGGAGUAGAGUUGGGGUCAGACUCUAGCAGCCCUGCAGGGGGAUGAUUUGGGCAUGGGUGAAAGGGUUUAGGGUGGUGGAAGUGGAGCCACAGGGAGGGAUGAGGGCAGCAUUUGUGGACCCCACAGUAACAGUGAGUGGGAGAGGCAGAGGAGAAGGAGACGGGGAGGCCGAGUCUUCAGAUGGCCUGAGGGGGCUGGUACUCCAGCACCUCCCUGAGACCCAGGACACCUUGCUGAGCAUCUGACCUCCCCAUCAGGCCAGACCAGACCAGGUAGAGAGUCCCACCGCAUGGGUGCCCCCUCCUGCACUCUAUUUCGCAGCGCCUUUCCCCCUUGUCAUUGGUCCCCUCCAGGGAGCCACUGUGAGUGCACAGAACAGGUGGGGCUCUCCCAGCUGCUAUCCAGCUGUGAAGAACCCUGACCAUACCCCCCCACCCCCCUGCAGGAGAGAAGGUUCUAAUUCUAGCCGGAAAGAUGAGAAGGAUGGUACGGGGAGAGCGUCCAGAGGGAUGCGUGGAAGCUAACCACUUGCCCCAGUUGUGUGAACAUAUGUGUGGGAGGGGAGGGGCCUGCAGGUGGCAAGGCCCAGCUUAAGAAUGAUGGAGUGUUGCUUAGUUCUCUGAGCUAGAGACAUAUGGGCUAUACAAGACCAAGCAAAAUGAGAAAUUAUUGCUUAAGAGAGAGAGGACAUGGGGGGAUAAGAAAAAAUUCAAGCCAGGGAGACCCAGUGCCGCUUGCCCCCUCGCCAUCAUGACCUGACCCAUCUGUGCGUGACUGGAUCAAAGUCCAAGGGGAGGGAGAGGUCUGAGAACUGACCCUCAGGGCCUCCGGUGGGGGAGAAGCUGAUCCUCCGAACAUGCAUUUCCCCGAUGUUACACAGAGCGCGGGGAGCUGGGAACAGCCGCCCCAAUUCUCCAGGUGGGACAGUGGGUGGAGCUUUCCCCAUCCUCCUCUGUGCUUCUUGUGCCCGCCUCUCUGUCCACCCCUCCCCUCUCUCCAGUCCAAUGGGGAACCAGUUCUCUCUUCUCCCGCUGGCCUGUCUCUCAUGGUUCUCCCCGGCACUGAGCCUUCCUCAUCCACUCAGUGGCUCCCACACUCUCUUGUCUCCUCUGAAUGUCCCCUUCCUGCACCAAGCCUCCUAGGCUUUGUCUGUCCCCACGAAGGCCCCUCCCCCUAAGGCAAGUUCACUUACCCAACCUUGUGGCUGAUGCAAGUCCUUUAGGGUCCACUGUGGGCUGGUGCCUUGGUCCAGCUCCAGGGCUGGAGUUUCUCUGGUCCGUCUGGCCUCUAUCACUCAACAUCCACGUGUCUGGUUUAGACUGUGACCUCCACAGGGCUGGCAAGGAUCCAAGUGUUUCUGUGGUCACCAGCACAGCUCUGGGAGCAACCUGAUUUUUGAUAGAGUUGACAGCUUUUCUUUUGAUUCCAUGAGGCAGAAGCAGCUAGAAGGAUGCUGAGAGGUCUUAGAGGACCACUGAGUGUGACUAAGGCACUUCCUCCAGGGAAGCCACCUCCUGCUACAACAAGCAGUGACUGAGGCUGGACAGCAAGAACUUCUGAAGACUCUUAAGGUGGAAGGAAAGAUUCCCAGGGUUUCUGUGAAGACGUUGGGGAGGGAUGGCCUUAACCUUUUCAAGCUCGGAGGGAGCAGAGGGGUCUGUGAAUCUGGAGACGUUUACUUCCACCCUUGUAGGAUUGAUCCAAAAGAGGGAUGGCCACUUCCUCUUUUUUUUUAAAUUUAUUUAUUUAUUUUAUUUAUUUAUUUUUGGCUGCACUGGGUCUUCGUUGCUGCAUGUGGGCUUUCUCUAGUUGUGGUGAGCGGGGUCUACUCUUCAUUGCGGUGCACGGGCUUCUCACUGCGGUGGCUUCUCUUGUUGUGGAGCACGGGCUCUAGGCACGCAGGCUUCAGUAGUUGUGGCUCGUGGGCUCUAGAGCGCAGGCUCAGUAGCUGUGACACCCGGGCUUAGUUGCUCUGCGGCAUGUGGGAUCUUCCUGGACCAGGGAUCGAACCUGUGUCCCCUGCAUUGGCAGGCGGAUUCUUAACCACUGUGCCACCAGGGAAGCCCGCCACUUCCUCUUUAGGAGCCCUGACUCAUCAUUCUCAGUGCAAAUCCCAUUCACAAUUUCUUUGAUAAUUGUUUGUUCCUUGGCCAGAAAUCUGGUUCUUGAAUUCCCUCUCCUGUUCUUUUCCAUGAUCUGGGAACCAUCUUUGCGAACCAACCCCAUCUCCGUUUUAUGGAGCCAGAAGAACAGAGAGGUAGAGCCCUGUCUAGGCAGCGACAGAGCAAGCCUACAGGAGCCGGGAAUGCCUCCUUACGUGAAUGCCCUCUUCUUGUCUUUGGAUGCGAAGGGAAAGGAUGUGAUCCCCGAGGGAAAGGGCAGGGUUGUCCAGAGCAGGGUGUGUUAUCAACUAGAAGAGCACCCGCACCCAGCCACCUCGAUCUAAAUGUUCACACAAUGGAAAUAUCUUCACAGCCAAGGGCCCCUCCCUCCCAAAGAGAAAAUCCCACAAGUGGGGAACAUCUGGAUCAAACCGCAACCAUGAAAGCACAACAUCAAACGAGGGUUUCAGAGGGACCCUCCCCGCAGGCCCUGCUCCAAGAGAAAUUGCAGAUCUUCCUGCUUGAAGCUUUUAAGUGUCACAGAACCACUCAAGUUUGGGAUCUCUCCUUAUUCACCAGAGACAGAUGUCCCCAAACUGUCAGCUUUGAAGGCAUGGACUCCCUCAUUGUAACUGGGUUUCUAGUGCCCCACACAGUGCCUGGCAGAGAGUAGCUGCUCGGUGAUGAAGCCCCGCUCCAGCUUCCAGCUGGAGCGCGUUCUCCCGCCGCCAGCGUUCUGGGAAACAAAACAACCCACGCGAUGAUUCCUCUGCAGCCUCGAGGCCUCUGAGGGGCUACAAGGGCAUCUCCUAGCUGACCUCCUCUGGGAGUCUUCUGGGGGGACCCUAGUUGACAGCACUCUCUCCCACCUCUGAAAUGUAUUGUCCACAAGAUUCACGCGGGAUUUCCCUGCUGGUCCAGCGGUUAAGGCUUUGCAAUUUCAGUGCCUCCUCUUCAGUGGGAACGAGUUCGAUCCCUGGUCGGGGAACUAAUAUCCCCCAUGUGGUGCGUGGGGGCGGCCAAAACGAACAAAGAAACAAACGAAAGCAAACAAAAAAAGGUCUCACUACACCUUCAUGGUAAGGGCUAUUAUUGUUAUUUACUAAUCUGGGAUGGAUGUGUCUUUCUUGGUUGAGUGAGACCCGAGGCUCUUGGGGACCGCAGUGCCCAGCAUGGAGUCUCCUCAGGACAGGCUGGCUGUUGACUAGCUAACGCCUCCAAGUCCUAGUGUGUAAGCUUUUGAUGUGGUGGCUCCUCUGGGGCUCUGAUGGCUGAGCGUCGGGAACUGCUGAGUCGGGAUGUCUUGGCGUAAUCGGGGGAAUUGGACACACACGCGAAGGAGCCCGGUCCCAGUGAGGUGAGGCCUGAAUGACCCUGCAGGUCGAGAGAAUGCUUGAGCGGGAAUGUUGCGAAAAUGACCAAGGUCGGUGGGCUCUAUUCAGAAAAACUCUUUGGGCAAGGAACGUAUGAAAGAGGUUGGAAGGAGAGAAGGGCAGGGCCGGCAGAGGUUGCAGGAGGAUAUCCGGGUGGGAUAGGCUUGGCCGUGGGUGAGGAGGCUAAGGCGGCUCUGCCUGCAGGUGAGGGCCCAGGAGGGAGGGGCUUGGGCAAUUGUAAACAUUCCCUCUACACUGUGAGGACUGUGACCACGGCUCCACAACCCGCUCCCAUCCCUCCCCAAACUCUAGGCCAGGAGGGAUCCUACCUCUCACCGCCAUUUCUAGGCCCAGGCUGACCUGUGCUCCCGCGACAUCACCUGACACCGAGCUCGGGGUGGAUCAGCUUUGCUCUGUACCCUCGCGGUCCUCCCUGGGGCUGGAGCUGCCUUUGAAGUUGAUGGAGAGAAGAUUGGUGAGCUGUCGCCUGAGCCUAGAUCUCCCAGACAUCCGUGAGGGGAGGGGAUCUCCACUUUGAGCCCUUUUUCGGGGGGCUGAGGUGUUGACACUUUAGUUGUCAGAACUGACGUUUCUCAUCUGUGAAUGCGGCGCGAAGCUGACCGAAUUGCCAGCAUCUCUGGGCUGCUGGGUGGCAGCACUGCUCAGCUCCAGGGACCAACCACUCACCGCACUCCUGGAGCACAACUCCAGGUGGAGCCAUUCACAUAGAAUUUGACGUGCACGGUCGCCGCAUUCCCCGCCGCCCAAGGUCGCGCGGUGAUGGUGGGCCACCAUCGUGCCCUUUUUGAGUCAGGGUUCUGUUUACCAGUCUAAGCUAGUUAACCUGAGGACCAGGAAUAUUCAUGAGGCUUUGCCCGAGGACAGAGAGACAGACAAAAUAGUCUCCAAAGUCAUGUCCUCAUGAGACGUGGGCACCGGGAAACCAGAGUGUCUCCCAGACAACAGGUCCACAAAGCAGGGUGCAGUCUGAGGCCAAGUAGCAGGGAAAAGAAAUGACAAACUCCAUCCAUCGGGGAAGGAAAACUGUCUUUCACCCCCGGAUUGAAAAGAAUAACCCACGUGUAAAGACCCAGUGACACUUAGUAGGUCUGCAGUUACCAUGAGGUGAACCAGAAUCAGUGCUCACAUUCCAGCCUCUAGGUUCGGGGUUCUUGGAAGCAGAAAGGCCUAGCCACCCUGGUGACACUUGUGCAUGGGAAUUUGCUGAAAUCUGAAAUGAGAUCCUGACCCAGAUGGGGGUCAGGAAUUUGUUUCCUUCCCUUUUUCUCCUUCUUAGUUCACUGUUUAGGAUGAAAAAUGACAACCAGAUGAGCAAAAGAAUGAUUAUCAGGAAUGAUAAAUAAUACACUCCAGAUGUGGCCGGAGAGAAAUGCAACUGAAAGCACCACCGCCUCCAAGUAGUCACGUUGGGGCGACCCCCUUCUCCCAACAAGGCCACGAUGACAAAAGUUCUGUAACUCUUCUUUGGGAAUUGUCUUCAGGAAGUGGAGGGGAUGAGGUCAAAACGCACCCACACAGCAACCUGUUUCUAACAACGAUCGGUUAACCUACAUGAAGAACUCUCCAGUUGCAGAAGUUUCCUGGACGUUUGCUUUCCUGAGGAAAGACCUGGAAGAAGGGACUGCUGGCCUGCUUUUGAAUCUCGAUCCUCUCCCCUCCUGCCUCACCCGUGGACGCUGCCCUCGUCGUCAAGUAACAAGCUGGAUUCGAAAGGUGGGGAGGAAGGAAGGAGGAGGAUGUGGCGGUUUAGCAGUGGGGAUGAGCCUGGGUGUAGAAGGGUCCCCUGCAGGUCAUAAAUGUUCUCUUGGAGGGUGGGGAGUCCCGGCCCAAGAUUCCUGAUCAUCUCCAUCCUCCAACCCAGAAGGAAGAGAAGGCUAGACUCAAGGAAGAACUUACUCAUUUUCAGUAGCAGAAACAGCAGCUCCUUCUCCAGAGCUCUGUGAUAGGGCAAGGCCAAUUUCUAUUGACAACAACGUUGCUCAGAGGCCUUGAAAUGGAAUUGCGGGGAGUGAGGGGACUGUUUCCUCAGGUGCCCUGUUGGUGGGGACAUUGUCACUUGUUGUCCUGGCACAAGGACUCCCGAAAGUGUGCAGUCACGCGCGCUGACCUAGCCACUCAGAGCCUAACUGACAAGCGUCUGCAGACACAGGAGUGUGCUCCGAGGAGCCUCUGGGGACGGGGCUCUGGGGUCCUCGUGGGUGGAACAAGCCCCCCCGAAGAACAAGCCAGGACACCAUUCAAAGAGGGGAGCUCUGGGGACCCUCCCCGCCGUCCACCACCUCCUCUCUCAUGAGCGAACCCCAGCGUUAGGGCACGUUGGAUCCACCCAGCACCACCCCUCACUGGCCGGGAGAACACAGACUUCCCUUGGGGCCCAGGACUGGAAGAAAUAGGAGUGCAUAUUUACACUGGGUUGUGAGGGACACAAAGAUAAAAGGACCCAGAGAUCAAAGAGCCCCCAGAAGCUCGGUGUGCAGACCUCUGGGUCUAGGAUUUGUUCUGUAAGCAGAUUUCCUUCUCCUUUGGGGAAAACUCACAUGGAGGGAUCCCUCCCUUAGGGCUUGUGGUGGUUCCACUCUGGGAGCAAGGGGACAGCCUGAGGUGGGCCUCGUUGGGACACAGGCCUGCCUCCUGCUGGGGCACAUCUCUGACUGCCCAAGCCGUGCAGAACUGCACAGAAGAAAGGGAAAGGAAAGUUGUGUACAUGCCGCGGUGGGUGAAAGGCAGAACAAGCCCAGAUCAUCCAUUGACAUUUGUGCUUCCAUGUGGCUCCCAGGUCGAGAGGGUUCAGACCUUCCACGACUCAGGGCGCUGGGUUAAGGAGGGUGCGUGGAGAUCCUGAGCUGGGCACUUCCGGGCCACGGAGAACAAAGGAGCCGGGGGUACAGGCAAACCUCCAUCAGAGAGGUCGUGUGUGUGUGUGUGUGUGUGUGUGUGUGUGUGUGUGUGUGUGUGUGUGUGUGUGUGUGUGUGUGUGUGUGUGUGAGCCUGUGGGUCAGCAUCCAUCCGUAGGGAGCGGGGAGGGAAAGAAAUGGUGAAGAGAAUAGGAGAAAGAGAAGAAAUAAAAAUGAAGGCACUGAAACAGAGAGAGCAAGCUAACAGACCCACACAAAGAGAGGCAGAGAAACACUGCAGGAGCCUGGGGACCAGGCAGCAGGAGGCGGGGAGGGGAGAGCCUCGGGAGGGUCAGCAGCGAAAACAAUCGGCCAGGCUUCUGCCCGGGAAGGUGGGCAGGAAGGCAGGGAGGGGAAUGGGUGGCAGAGAAAGCCCCCCCUUGCCGGGCAGGGCAGAGGAGCUGGAACCCGAGUCUCCCAGCUCCCAAGCAAUCAGCCUUCUCCCCCUGCCCUCGCCCUGAGCCCAGGGCUGAGAUUGACGGGACUGCAGCUUCUCUGGGUCUGGGUGGAUUUGAAUAAUUAAGUCAUCUGGAUUCUUAUGAUUUACCAUUUUCAGUGAUAAAUAGACAGUGCCCAAGCCAGCCAGUUGGCAAAACUCUGGCUGCUAGUUAUAAUUUGUCAAGCUGCCAGUAGAUUCAUGUUUCAUGCUAAUGGAGAGAGACUCAUUGACUGGGGGAGGCGGUGACCCGGUCAGCUCUUUCCUCAGGCACCCCAGAGGUCGAGAGGUCGGGGGGAGAAAGGCCGGGCCGCUAUGGAUUUGCUGUAAGGGUCAGUGUAAUUUUAUAAUAAUUCAGCGGGUACACACGCUCUCGAAUACACAGAGAGUCAUGUAUGCGGAGAUAUGUUCGGAUCUGUGCACCUCCCCCGCCCAUGCACCUGCUCCAGUGCAGGCGUCUGGGCCCAGUGCACACAAGCCUGGUGCUGAAACACUUGUCCAGCCCCCCUCAGCUCACUUGCACAUGCACACCCUGCUGUCCCCUUCAGGCAUGUGAUUACACCAAGGCAAACCUGCAGACCUGCUCAGACACCCAGAGAAACAUAUCUCCCCUCACCGACAAUGCACACCUCAAAGAUGGGAAGAUACCUCUGGGGGACCCCUCUGACCACCACCCCAACCCCUUUAUUUCAGGGCUUUCGUGUCUGCCGUUCCCACUGCACAACUCUUGCUCCCUUUCUAACAGUCUUCCAGUGGGGGAGACAAAUGAGCCCUGGGGCCGUCCUAUUUUCCAACCGGCUGGGUCUGGGUAGCCGGAGUUGGGAAAGCACGGGCUCGGAGACAGAGCAUAUGGAAGGCGGCAAUCAAAAUCCAAACUUUCUUUUCCAUCAGUUCAUUUAUUUAUGUAUUUGUCCACAUGCACUAAAGCCUCACAGUGGCAAGGAUCUCAUGACUGACCGUCAUGAGAAACAGAGGUAGGGACAAGGCUUCGCACAUAGUAGGUACUAAAUAAAUAGCAGUGGCAGGAACAGCUGCAGCUACUGACUGAUUUCUCGACAGAACAAACUACUCAUUUCCCUUCUCUUCCUCCGCCUCAACAAACCUUUAUCAUCAGGGAAGGCCAGAGAAGAGGUGUGGGUCUGGGUGAAGCCCUCCUAUUCCUUGACUUGAGAAAUCUGGGCCUUUGGCGUGAUAAAAAAUGCUAAUUUUAUACCAACAGAAGCCAUCCGGUCUCAAUUUUGACCCCCAAAUGCCCUUAAAAUGGAUCAAUGAGCAAGGGAGGACCGAGGAAGGAGCAUCUGUCCUCCCUCGUGCCCAGAAGAGAAUGUGAAUUUGCUUUGAGUGAGUAGCUUGUGAGCAGGGCCAGAAGCCGCAGCUCGUUACCGUCGGCGGCUUUAAGGUUUGGCGGGGGCGUGCGGAAGGAUCAGGGGCCCGAGGAGAAACAUUGCCUUUCCCUGUCCCCCAAAGCCCCUAAAGGAGAGAGAAAAACACAAUAGCGAGCCGAACAGAGCAGAGACCGAGGCAGCAAGGAGAACCCCCAAAGACAGAAGCUGCUUCCAGCGUCAGGCUCAGGCUCGAGGAUGCAGUCGCAGCUGUUGGCUCUGCCCGUGGAGAUUCAAGAUUCCGGAUCCUGCGAAGUGAAUUGGGUUCCCUCCUUCCCAGCGGGGCCAGGCUGGGGUCAAGGAGGCUGCUCUGGGCAGACAGUCUGGAACCCCUCCACCAAGGCCUGGAAUAAGAGGCCUCCCUUCUUUGCCGAGCAGAGGUGGAUGGCGGCGGCAGGCCCAGCUAAUCAGAGGCAUUCCUUGGAGAGACGGCCAAGAGCCAGAAUCGACCAGCUUCUCCAUUCAAGGGAAAGAGGACCCCUAAAUGCAUCGGGAAUAGGGAAACAGGCUUUGCUUAUUUAAUAGUUUGAGGCUUUGACCUGGUUUCACUGACGUCAUCCCACCUGCACCAAGGUGAGCUCCUGCAGGCCCUCACUCACCCCGGGAGAGCAACAGCCUUGGGGGCACCAGCAACUCCACCCCUAUGGGCAGGGGCAGGCCGACUGUGGCCUGCAGAUGGGUGAGGUGGGGAAGGAUUUUCUGGGGCAAGCCACGGGGACGUGAGGGCAGUAAUCAUGAUUGAUACAGAAAGUGUGUCGCUUCAUCCCGCAGUUGAUCAGCAAAGCUUCCUCCCCAUUUUGCCUCUCAUCUUCCGUUCCUAAUAUUUGCAUCCAGGUAAUGAACUCCUGAGGUCAGGGCACAUGUUACCUUGUCUGAAGGUCUCAGAGCAAAGCCUCUGAGUACGAAGACAGUACAAGAGCCCCAGCCUGGACUAGAUGAAGAGGGAGAGAGAAAGAAAAGGAAAAACAGGAAGAAGGAAGGAAGGGAGCAAGUGGGUGGGGGGAUGUGGAGAGAGAUAAAAGAAGGAAAGGAGCUUGAGAAUGGGGAGGAAAGCUAACAGAGCGAUGCUAAAGUUGGCCCGUGGUUUGAGGGUUGAAUCCUCAAGGCUUAUGCUGCCCUUGGAAGAUGUGCUGACCUUAGCGACCUGCCCCAUCCCACUUUGGGGAAACAAAGGAGCUAUCUAAUUGGCUUUAACUGGGUGGUUGCCGCUGGAGCACAUGGACAGGAUGGGGGAGCACAGGCCCAAGAGGCUGCAGACACACAACCACCCCAGGUCAACCUCCUCUAGAGGCUGAAUCUGAAGUCAUUUUGCCAAUUAAUCUCUGUGUGUGUGUGAGUUCUGUGAAAUACACUGCAGACCGAAAGUCCGCUUGCCCCAGGAAGGCAUGUCCUCGUUCUCUUUCAGCGUGCGAUGCUUUCUUUGGUUCCUCCAGCAUCUAUAAACCUCACACCAAGCUCUUUAUAGAUUAAUCCAACCCCUUCUGGCAUAGAGAAAUCCCUUGCCCUGGAAGGUAGCUUUCUGGGGCAGGGAUGGAGAUAAGUACGGCAAAGGAGGAAGAUUUUUCUUCUCACCAAGGAAGAAAAUGAAGAUGUCCUUCCCAGAACGCACCGGGCCUUAUCAUCACCCCUCUCUCACCUGCACACACACAGGCAGGCUAACCAAAGUGCCAGAAGAACCCUCCAGUGCAAAGGGUUCAUUUGACACAGAGAACAAACUGAGGCCCAAGGUCACAGAGCCAGAGCAUGGCAGAACAAAGCAGCCCAGGCUGCAGACAGAGGAGCAGGUCAGGAGACAGAGCCAGGGUGGGUCCGUGACUCACCCCUCUCGAAACUGCUUCUUCUGCUUCCAGCACUGCUUUGGGAGCCAGAUAUUGACCUGCAGAGCCUCAAGGCCAGCCCCAGGCAGGUGCGGCUGCACGACGAACUCCUCCAGCUCUGUCAGCUACUUCGGAGAGAAGUGAGUCGCAAGAGGCUGGCCUCCGCCUCCACCCCUCCUGUGGCGCCGGCCUGCAGCCUGCCUGGGGUGGGCACUGGAACCUGGGAGGUCAGGGUCACGGCAGCCAGGAUACCUGGGAGCCCCCGCCUCAGCCCCACUGGGCCUCUCCCCGCUCACCCUCCUCUCCGCGCCUUUCCUGCCGCUGUUCCUCCCGUCUAGACCCCCUUUCUGUUAACCCAGUUCCCCCUUCUUUCCUUUCUCUCUGUAUAUUUCUCAUUUUUCCUUCCUUCGUUUGCCUUCUUCCUGCCCUCCCUCCACUUUUUUCUCCUCUCUUCCUUCUUUCCUUCUUUCCUAGCUUUCCUCCUUUCCUACCCGUCUCUCUUUCUCCCAUUCAUUUCUCUUUUAUUUUUUUUAAAACUUCUUUCUUUUCCUUCCCUUUUCUUUUACUUUCUAGCUCCUUUCAUUCAUUUGCUUUUCUUUUCCUUCCUUCCUUUCUUUCCUUCUUUCUCUUAUUUCUCCUUUCUUUCCUUCUUUCUCU